rnacentral:rRNA from 1 species
GACGAACGCUGGCGGCGUGCUUAACACAUGCAAGUCGAACGGUGAAGCGCCUUCCUUUUUGGUGGGUGUGGAUGAGUGGCGAACGGGUGAGUAACACGUGAGUAACCUGCCCCCUUCUUCUGGAUAACCGCAUGAAAGUGUUGCUAAUACGGGAUAUUCUGGGUCUGUCGCAUGAUGGGUCUGGGAAAGAUAUUGUUUCGGUGGGGGAUGGGCUCGCGGCCUAUCAGCUUGUUGGUGGGGUGAUGGCCUACCAAGGCGGUGACGGGUAGCCGGCCUGAGAGGGUGGACGGUCACACUGAGACUGAGACACGGCCCAGACUCCUACGGGAGGCAGCAGUGGGGAAUAUUGCACAAUGGGCGCAAGCCUGAUGCAGCGACGCCGCGUGAGGGAUGGAGGCCUUCGGGUUGUGAACCUCUUUCGCCAGUGAAGCAGGCCUGCCUCGUUUGUGGGUGGGUUGACGGUAGCUGGAUAAGAAGCGCCGGCUAACUACGUG